GAUGAAGAACGUAGCGAAAUGCGAUAAGUAAUGCGAAUUGCAGAAUUCCAGUGAGUCAUCGAAUCUUUGAACGCACAUUGCGCCCUUUGGUAUUCCGAAGGGCAUGCCUGUUCGAGCGUCAUUAUCACCCCUCAAGCCCUCGGCUUGGUGUUGGACGGUUUGGUGGAGGCCCCCUCGGGGGCUCCUGCCCCUCCCAAAGACAAUGACGGCGGCCUCGUUGGACCCCCGGUACACUGAGUUCUUCACGGGACACGUAUCGGACACAUGGGUUUACGGGACACGGUCUGCCUCCCCUCAGGGAGAAUCUUUCUAAGGUUGACCUCGGAUCAGGUAGGGAUACCCGCUGAACUUAAGCAUAUCAAUAAGCGGGGA
rnacentral:misc_RNA from 1 species